CAUGCCGCGUGUGUGAAGAAGGCCUUCGGGUUGUAAAGCACUUUUGUCCGGAAAGAAAUCGCGCUGGCUAAUACCUGGCGUGGAUGACGGUACCGGAAGAAUAAGCACCGGCUAACUACGUGCCAGCAGCCGCGGUAAUACGUAGGGUGCGAGCGUUAAUCGGAAUUACUGGGCGUAAAGCGUGCGCAGGCGGUUUUGUAAGACAGGCGUGAAAUCCCCGAGCUCAACUUGGGAAUGGCGCUUGUGACUGCACGGCUAGAGUAUGUCAGAGGGGGGUAGAAUUCCACGUGUAGCAGUGAAAUGCGUAGAGAUGUGGAGGAAUACCGAUGGCGAAGGCAGCCCCCUGGGACGUCACUGACGCUCAUGCACGAAAGCGUGGGGAGCAAACAGGAUUAGAUACCCUGGUAGUCCACGCCCUAAACGAUGUCAACUAGUUGUUGGGGAUUCAUUUCCUCAGUAACGUAGCUAACGCGUGAAGUUGACCGCCUGGGGAGUACGGUCGCAAGAUUAAAACUCAAAUGAAUUGACGGA
rnacentral:rRNA from 1 species